CUUUGCAUAGACAACAGUGGUCCUAGGCUGGCUGCUCAGAGCUCUUAUUAAUGGGGCUUCCUGGAGACGCGGCCUGAGUGCACCAGACAGGUGAGCAGCAGCAAGAUGGGGCCACAGCCACACCUCCUCACCUUCUUGAUGCUCUGGGUCUCAGGUGUCUCUGGGGACAUCGUGAUGACCCAGUCUCCCAGCUCCGUGACUGCGUCUGCAGGAGAGAAGGUCACCAUCAAUUGUAAGUCCAGCCAGAGUGUGUUAUACAGCUCCAACCAGAAAAACUACUUAGCUUGGUACCAGCAGAGACCUGGACAGUCUCCUAGGCUGCUCAUCUACUGGGCAUCCACCCGAGAAUCGGGGGUCCCUGAUCGAUUCAGCAGCAGUGGGUCCACAACAGAUUUCACUCUUACCAUCAGCAGCUUCCAGCCUGAAGACGUGGCAGUGUAUUACUGCCAGCAGGGUUAUAGUGCUCCACUCACAGUGAUUCAGCCUCGAACAAAAACCUCCUCCCCGGGGCCACGGGGACAAGAAAGCUGAAAGAUGACUGAGGAC